rnacentral:rRNA from 1 species
UAGUCCACGCCGUAAACGAUGGAUACUAGUUGUUUGAGAUUUAUCUUGAGUGACUAAGCGAAAGUGAUAAGUAUCCCACCUGGGGAGUACGUUCGCAAGAAUGAAACUCAAAGGAAUUGACGGGGGCCCGCACAAGCGGUGGAGCAUGUGGUUUAAUUCGAUGAUACGCGAGGAACCUUACCAGGGCUUAAAUGUAAGUUGCGUGAUUUAGAGAUAGAUCUUUCUCCGGACUACUUACAAGGUGCUGCAUGGUUGUCGUCAGCUCGUGCCGUGAGGUGUCAGGUUAAGUCCUAUAACGAGCGCAACCCCUAUCGUUAGUUGCUAACAGGUUAAGCUGAGGACUCUAAUAAGACUGCCGGUGCAAACCGCGAGGAAGGUGGGGAUGACGUCAAAUCAUCACGGCCCUUACGUCCUGGGCCACACACGUGCUACAAUGGUAGGUACAGAGAGCAGCCACUGCGUGAGCAGGAGCGAAUCUAUAAAACCUAUCUCAGUUCGGAUCGG